rnacentral:lncRNA from 1 species
AUUCUUUCCUUCAAUAUCGUGAAAAUGGCCAUACUGCCUAAGGGAGCCUGCAGCAGUGAUUCUGUUCUUUCAGAGCGUCUGUGGAUUCCCUCUGCUUUUCUGCCUGCCUUGCCAUUGUCAACAAAUGGACCUGAUUACACUUGUACGGUUCAACUCUAGUUGAAAAGAAAAUAAGCCUCUGAACAAAUAAGCAUUUGUUCCUCCAGGUAGCCUGUGAUGCCACUGCAGUGGUGGAUGUUCCCUGAACACGCUGUGCAUUUUCUCACCUCAGGGUCUUCAGUCAAGCUGCUGCAUCUAUGUGGAAUUCCCUGUCUGUCUCCACCAACUGCCAAAUGCUUGCUGAUCUUUCAAGAUGGAAGUGAAAGGACACUACCUCUCCUAAGCUUUCCCUAGUGCCUUCAUGUACCACCAACCCCCAAGUCAAAAUUUACCUCCACCACCUCAGCACUUUCAUAACCUCUGCCUGACCUCUACUUUAGGACGAAAUAAAACUUAUCUUGUUCUAUUAACUGGAUGUAUAGGUUUAAUU